AUUGAACGCUGGCGGCAGGCCUAACACAUGCAAGUCGAACGAUUGGCGGACGGGUGAGUAAUGUCUGGGAAACUGCCUGAUGGAGGGGGAUAACUACUGUAAACGGUAGCUAAUACCGCAUCCCAUCAGUUGUGCCCAGAUGGGAUUAGCUGGUUGUCGGGGUAACGGCUCACCAAGGCGACGAUCCCUAGCUGGUCUGAGCGGAUGACCAGCCACACUGGGACUGGGACACGGUCCAGACACAUACGGGAGGCAGCAGUGGGGAAUAUUGAACAAUGGGAGCAAGCCUGAUGCAGCCAUGCCGCGUGUAUGAAGAAGGCCUUCGGGUUGGAAAGUACUUUCAGCGGGGAGGCGUUACCCGCAGAAGAAGCACCGGCUAACUCCGUGCCAGCAGCCGCGGUAAUUC
rnacentral:rRNA from 1 species